rnacentral:rRNA from 1 species
AUCGCUAGUAAUCGCGGAUCAGCAUGCCGCGGUGAAUACGUUCCCGGGCCUUGUACACACCGCCCGUCACACCACGAGAGUUUGUAACACCCGAAGUCGGUGGGGUAACCGCAAGGAGCCAGCCGCCUAAGGUGGGACAGAUGAUUGGGGUGAAGUCGUAACAAGGUAGCCGUAUCGGAAGGUGCGGCUGGAUCACCUCCUUU